GUUGAUCAGACUUAACACAGCAAAUGGAAGAUUUCGUUAACUGAAUAUCACUAUUCUGUCUUCUGCAUAGGAGGACACUACCUCAAAUAAACACCAGGAUUCUUUCAAUGAGGAUGAAGAAAAACAGGCAGGAAUUUCCACUGAAACGGAGCCAGAUGACAAAGUGGUGCCACCAGCAGCUGACAAAGAAGGUAAACUUUUUUCUUUUUUUUUUUUUUUAAUGGUUUCAGCUUAAAUUAAAAUCUUUUAAGUAUUUUGAUAUUUGCAGUAAUGAUUUCUAGUGUAAAGUGAGUGGUUUAAUGAGACAUUUUUAUCUACCAGACAUUGUUUAUCUAUCAGCUCAUAGUGGUCAUUUACUUUAAUUUUAUGUUGUACAAUCUUUACAGCUGCUGAUGCUGUUGUAUGUGAACCAGGAGAGGUCACAGAGGAAAACACAAUAGCUGUGGUCUCUAGUCCUGCUGAACAAGACUUAGAACUGUCCAGAGGAGAACAGCCUGAUGUUUCAGACACAAAGAGCAGCCCCAGGGCAGAGGUAGCUGAGGAGAACCAGGUCAUAAUGGACAUAAGCAACAGUGAAGCUGAGAGUAAGACAGCAGCAGAAGAAAAUGUGGCAGAAGAGAAGAGUGAUCCACAAACUAUGGAAACCAGUGUUCCAGAGCAGGCCGAGAACGUCAGAGAAGGAGAACCUGAGAUUCAGCCCAAAUUAGUGAAACAAAUCAGUAAUGCCUCCAGCACAGGCAGCCAGGAAGAUGAGAAAGGAUCAGACUCAUCAGAGAAAGAAGAGAAGACAGAAAGAAGAGGAAGACGAAAACGUAAGCUGUCCACUCACAAAGGUGAUGAGCAGGAAGAAAAAGAAAGUAAAAAGCAGCUGCCUACUGAGGAAACUGAGCAGGAGAAGGUUGUUGAAGUGAAAUCACCACGCAGGGGGCGAUCGUCCAGAACCACCGAGGAGGCAGAGAAGGACCAACCCAAGGCACCUGAGAAAAUGGAGGAGACUCUGAGCCGCAGGGGAAGACGUUCAGGAGCUGCAGCCAAAGAAGCUGCUGCUGAUGAUCAGAGCAAAGAUGAGACUGAAGACGAGGAGAGCACAGACGCAACCUCAUCAGGGAAACCAGCAGAGAAGGAAGAGACGACUGAAGAACAAAGUGCACCAAAGAAAAGUGGUCGGAGGGGAAGUCAGGGCAGUCUGUCGACUCCUGUUCCAGAGGAGUCUGAAGCUGCAGGAAGCUCCGAGUCCAGAGAGACAGCUGACACACGUGCGUUUUGUUUUUAA
rnacentral:lncRNA from 1 species